AGUGAACGCUGGCGGUAGGCCUAACACAUGCAAGUCGAACGGCAGCACAGUAAGAGCUUGCUCUUACGGGUGGCGAGUGGCGGACGGGUGAGGAAUACAUCGGAAUCUACUUUUUCGUGGGGGAUGACGUAGGGAAACUUACGCUAAUACCGCAUACGACCUACGGGUGAAAGCAGGGGAUCUUCGGACCUUGCGCGAUUGAAUGAGCCGAUGUCGGAUUAGCUAGUUGGCGGGGUAAAGGCCCACCAAGGCGACGAUCCGUAGCUGGUCUGAGAGGAUGAUCAGCCACACUGGAACUGAGACACGGUCCAGACUCCUACGGGAGGCAGCAGUGGGGAAUAUUGGACAAUGGGCGCAAGCCUGAUCCAGCCAUACCGCGUGGGUGAAGAAGGCCUUCGGGUUGUAAAGCCCUUUUGUUGGGAAAGAAAAGCAGCAGGUUAAUACCCCGCUGUUCUGACGGUACCCAAAGUAUAAGCACCGGCUAACUUCGUG
rnacentral:rRNA from 1 species